rnacentral:rRNA from 1 species
AUGGCUUCUUGGGGGCAUUAAAUAAGAAGUUAGGCCUGCUCACUGAUAUUUAAAGAGCUGCAGUAUUAUGACUGUACAAAGGUAGCAAAAUCAUUAGUCUUUUGAUUGAAGACCAGUAUGAAAGGUUGUUCGGGGAGAUACUAUUAAAAGUUUUAUAUUUUGAAGUUAUCAUUUUUGUGCAAAGACAAAAAUAAAAGUAAGGGACAAGAAGACCCCUUUAAGUUUAAUUUAUUACUAAGGUUUUAUUAAUAAUUAAUAACAAAAUGAAUUUUAGUGUUAAAAUUUGCUGGGGCGGCCGGUAGAGAUCAUUACCUUAAGAGAUAUAAAGAUAUUUAGCUAAAAAGUUGAGCUUGAAGAGGACUAUAAGAAUAAACUACUAAGGGGAUAACAGCGUUAUAUUAUUUAAUAGUUCUUAUUGACAAUGGUGUUUGCGA